ACCAUUAUCGUCUACUUGAGCCAUUAACCGAAGGAGCUUUCAAGCCGAACGGUAAUAAAACAGCACCUGUAUCGAUAUCCGUCGUUACUACGUUAGAAAUAUGUAAAUGCCUGUACAGGUAUUCGCGUAGAUGAGUUGUCGCUAUCGAUCAUAAUUCGACCUUCGGAAGAUGUAUCGGACAUCAUAAUUGACCAAAUGCAUUAAAACCUGUGUGUGUAUGAUAUCGCGCGUCUCAUCUUGAUUAUUAAUACUAGAUAUCUUUGGGGAGAUCGAAGAAAAUAUAAUUGCACAACCGACAAGAUAUCGUGACAUCGGAGUCAUCGACAUUUCAUGAUCGUAAAUCAAGUAAAUGGUGAAUGCAAUGGUGAAUGCAAUGAUGCCGGACUUAUUGCAUGCUGCUAGAAAUGUAUCGAAACGAGGUCGGUUGAGCGAACUCGAUAAAUUAUAAGCUACCAGGAAGAACAAGAAGUGAAAUUAGACUAUCAUUA